rnacentral:tRNA from 1 species
GGUGUAGUGGUUUGAGCAUUGGACUAUGGCUUCAGAGACCAGGGUUCAAUUCCCUGCUCAGCCA